rnacentral:lncRNA from 1 species
AAUUAAUGGAAUAGAAAUUUCCUUAUUAGUAUAUUUUUAUUUCUGUCUCCAGAGUGAGUAAUUGUUCUAGGAAUCAGAGGUAAGGCAAACGGUAGAAACUGGGAAGAGAUGAGGCCUUGGAGUGUAUAAAGGUUCCUGCAGUUGGAUUCAAAAUGCAGUUGGACUCAAAAUGAGGCUGAGGCAGGCCAAGUCUGAGGUUCCCUUGGACACAGAAUUAAGACUAUGCUGGGGCUUCAGAGUGCAAAUCGUGUUCAGUCUCAGACAUUCCCCUUUCUUUCACUGUCCCUUCCCUCCUGAAUAGUGACCUGAAGUCACGAUUUUUUUUGUUUCUUUGUUUUGAAGGUAGGAUCUCACUAUGUUGCCCAGGCUUGUCUCAAACUCCUGGGCUGAAAUGAUCCUCUCACCUCAGCCUCCUUAGUACCUGAGACUACAAGCUUGUGCCAUUGUGGGCUGAAGUCACUUCCUAUCAAACUGCUUGUCAUCAGUUCAAAUCUGUCCCCAAGGCAGCUUCUAUAUUUUAUUCUUUAAUUAAACAUAAAGAUAGAGAAAAGAAACAAAAUGUUUGGAAAUUUAGAUCCCAGGUGUGUGAAAGGGUAUCUUACCUAUUGUGUCCGGAAUUGGUGGGUUCUUGGUCUCACUGACUUCAAGAAUGAAGCCGCGGUGAGUGUUACAGCUCUUACGGUUGCUCGUCUGGAGUUUGCUCCUUAUGAUGUUUGGAUGUGUUCGGAGUUUCUUCCUUCUGGUGGGUUUGUGGUCUCGCUGGCUCAGGAGUGAAACUGCGGACCUUCACGGUGAGUGUUACAGCUCUUAAGGCAGCGUGUCUGGAGUUGUUCGUUCCUCCCGGUGGGUUCGUGGUCUCGCUGGCUUCAGGAGUGAAGCUGCAGACCUUUGCGGUGAGUGUUACAGCUCAUAAAGGCAGUGUGGACCGAAAGAGUAAGCAGUAGCAAGAUGUAUUGCAAAGAUCGAGAGAACAAAGCUUCCACAGUGUGGAAGGGGACCCCAGAGGGUUGCCACUGCUGGCUCAGGCAGCCUGUGUUUAUUUUCUUAUCUG